rnacentral:lncRNA from 1 species
UAUUUCCAACUUUUGUUCCCAGCUCCAGUUUACAGAUGGGUCCCAAAUGUCAGAUUUUUCAUGACUUAUUAAUAAGCAAUAUAUAUGUAUAUAUCAAACAGACAGAAGAGAGAAAGCAUAUGAAAAUCUUCAAAUAAUAGCUAAAAUAAGUUUAUUAUAAUAUGCUAUACAGAACAGAACACGUGAAACUACAUACACUCAUUCACAUCACAACAACCAGUUUUCAUACAAUCAUUCACAUCACAUCAACCAGUUUAACCAUCGAAUCUUGCAUACUCAGGAACUUCAAACAUCACCCAGAUCCACACAAUCAUAAAUAAUGGGAUCUACAAAUAGACCGCUCUACCAGUACAAAAGCUAGCUGCUCUUCAACAUGGGUAGAAGUCCUCAACGGAGUUCCAUUCACCUACAAGAACAGAAUGGAAUAUCAAGUACUUGCAUUCUUCAAGAAGAUUACAACCAACAUAUAUACGUACGGGGACAUCAGGAAAGCUGAUGGAGCAAAAUCAAACAACAGAUAAAUCAAGUAAACAGACCAUUUGGAAAAAAAUAUACUACCAGGCUUGAACAUGAGCAUAGAAAAGAAAAGAUGAUUUCAGUGAAAUUAAAACUGCCAAUGAAAGCUGAAUAACAGUUCAGCUGAUUAACUCCUAGUAUGGAGGAAUAUCACAAAAUUAAACAAGAUGGUCGUGCAAGUUUCUAUACAAGUAUUCGUGAUUACGGUUUGUUAUCAUCGUCUAAAUUCUCCAACAUGCACAAAAUUAAUUAAUAUAUCUGAAUGUGCUACCAAUGAAGCAAAUUCUAAAAGAUACACGGACAGGGCUUAAUUAGCUAACCAUGUCAUUCUAUAAACACACAACAAACUCAAUGAUAACGUGUAUAGUCUCCAUAUAGUUUCUAUAUGAGUAUUCAUGAUUUCCUUUUGUCAUCGUCGUUUAAAUAGCUUGGCGAACAUUGACAGCAAAGAAACAAAAAAUUUAAGUCAAUAGCUUUGUGAGCAUGUAGUAGAUUGUUCACAUCCUUAUGAAAUACAUGGCAAAGAAGCUUUACCAUGUAGACAAACACCCACUAACUCAGACGCUACAGGUGCUUGUUUCAUCAUGUUACAAAGGAGAAGCACAAACCACAACUUUACUCCACACACACACACACACACACACACACACACACACACGCACACAGACCAGUAGAUCAACAGGAGGACACAGAUUAGACCAAAUCCACAUAAACAAAUCCAUACACAUAGCAGGAUAACUGGAUAUUGGCCAAUUGGUUUGAUCAGGAGCAACAGUGCAUAUUUUCCCUAAACCUAAAAUUGCCAUAGUGCGUAAAUCAUGCCACUGGUCAGAGCACAACACCACAAUCACCAGUACAAGGCCACCAGAAGCACCACAGAGAGGGAUAGAGCUCACCUAGGUGGUUUGUAGCCAAGGAAGAAGCACAGCCGGCCGCGGUUGCGGCAGAGUUACUUGCAACGCAUAUGCAGAUCCUUGGGGCUUGUUGUCUUUACCAACACUUCAUCCCAGAAAACAACUCGCUUGGCUGCCAUGUCACAUGCUUCUACUGCCUUGUCCAACAUGUCAUAGAUGCAUCCAGAGUAGUUGGACUGAGAUCCUCCAGCAGAGGGGCACAACCAGCUAACAUACAAAAGGAGAAACGGUCACUUUAAACGGUAAUAAUAUUUUAGGUCUGACUAGUACUAAAAUCAACAGCAUCUGACUCCAUAUAAAAAAUCAACAACAUGUUGUUACAGUACGACUGUGCUCCCAAUCAUAAACAACAAGAUUCGGGACAUUUAUCAUGCCAACAAUACCACUAGUAGUAGUACCAAUGUGUUAACAAAAUUUAGGCCAGUAAACCAGGACAAAGCCCCUGCUGCUCUCAAACAGUAGGUCACCGCCAUAAGCUUUGAUUUCUGGCAACUAGGGGAAUUGGAUCAAUUGCAAUUCAAGAUGGUGCAUUAUUUGCUAGUGGCAAAGCAGGUUCGUUUUUACUGGGUACUAACAAAGUUGGUUUUUAC